AUGAAGCUCAACACAGAUGGAUCAUCCCUUGAGAACCCAGGCGUGGCUGGAGGAGGAGGCCUCAUAAGAGAUGAGAAUGGAAACUUGGUUGUGGGGUUAACUAGGAGAAUCGGGAUAGCAAAUAGCUUUAUGGCAGAGCUCUGGGCUCUCCGAGAUGGCCUUCUAUUAUGUCUGCAGUUUAAUAUUCAAGCUAUUAUAAUUGAAUUAGAUGCUAGAGCUAUAGUUGAUGCAUUCAAUCAUCGAUCAAACUCUAACACUAUUAUUUUCUCUAUUAUGGAUGAUUGCAGUUGUUGUUACUUCUUUGAUAACUCAAAAACCCUAGAGAAUGCUGAAGAAAAAAUGUUGGAGCUCUACUGUGAGAGGUCACAGUUAAAAGAUGGUCACACUGUUCUUGAUGUUGGAUGUGACUGGGGGUCACUCUCUUUGUACAUUGCUCGGAAGUAUAGUAAUUGUAGGGUUACAGGAAUUUGUAAUUCAACAACCCAGAAAGCACAUAUUGAAGAACAGUGUCGGGAUCUUCAACUGCAGAAUGUGGAGAUCAUUGUUGCAGAUAUUAGCAUAUUCGAAAUGGAAGCAUCCUAUGACCGAAUAUUUUCCAUCGAAAUGUUUGAGCAUAUGAAGAACUAUGAGGAUCUUCUGAAGAAGAUAUCCAAGUGGUUGAAAGAGGACAGCUUUCUCUUUAUUCAUCAUUUCUGCCAUAAAGCAUUUGCUUACCACUUUGAGGACAUAAAUGAAGAUGACUGGAUUACUAGAUACUUCUUUUCUGGAGGUACAAUGACUUCAGCAAAUCUGCUUCUUUAUUUUCAGGAUGAUGUUUCUGUUGUUAAUCAUUGGCUUGUGAAUGGGAAGCACUAUGCACAGACAAGUGAAGAGUGGUUGAAAAGAAUGGACAAGAACUUGUCUUCCAUAAAGCCAAUUAUGGAAUCAAACUAUGGCAAGGAUUCUGCUGUGAAGUGGACUGUCUACUGGAGAACAUUCUUCAUCGCUGUUGCAGAGCUCUUCGAUACAAUGAUGGAGAAGAAUGGAUGGUUGCGCAUUUCUUAUUCAAAAAGAAAUAAAAGGAGAAGCCAAAGCUUCUUCCUAAUUGAUUUUCAAUUUUUUGUGAGACUUUCCAUUUUAAGAUGGUAU